GAGAUGCGGGGUGCAUAGGCAUGCAGUCGAGCGAUGGUGUCGUAAGACACCAUAGCGGCGACGGGUGAGCAACACGUGAGUAACCUACCUUUAUUCCGGAGAUAGCCUUGCGAAAGCGAGGGUAAUACUCGAUGUGUCCAAAUCAUCAUAAGGUGGAUUGGGUAAAGAUUCCGCAAGGAAUUGAAUAAAGAUGGGCUCGCGUCUUAUCAGCUAGUUGGUAGGGUAAUGGCCUACCAAGGCUUUUGACGGGUAGGUAGCUUAAGAGAGUGGUUACCCACACGGGGACUGAGACACUGCCCCGACUCCUACGGGAGGCUGCAGUCGAGGAUCUUUAGCAAUGGGCGAAAGCCUGACUAUGCGACGCCGCGUGAGGGAUGAAGGCCUUCGGGUCGUAAACCUCUUUCGAUGGGAAAGAAGUGCCGAGCAAUCGGCAUUGACGGUACCCAGAGAAGAAGCCACGGCCAACUCCGUGCCAGCAGCCGCGGUAAUACGGAGGUGGCGAGCGUUACUCGGAUUCAUUGGGUGUAAAGGGCAGGUAGGUGGCUAUGUAAGUUGAGGGUGAAAUCCUUUGGCUCAACCAAAGAACUGCCUUCAAAACUACAUAGCUUGAGGUUGGAAGAGGAGAACGGAAUUCCCGGUGUAGGAGUGAAAUCUGUAGAUAUCGGGAGGAACACCAGCGGCGAAGGCGGUUCUCUGGUCCAAAUCUGACACUCAACUGCGAAAGCUAGGGGAGCAAACAGGAUUAGAUACCCUGGUAGUCCUAGCCGUAAACGAUGAGCACUAGGUGUUUGGGCGUAAGCCUGGGCGCCGUAAGAUAACUCGUUAAGUGCUCCACCUGGGGACUACGACCGCAAGGUUAAAACUCAAAGGAAUUGACGG
rnacentral:rRNA from 1 species